AAGUCGUAACAAGGUUUCCGUAGGUGAACCUGCGGAAGGAUCAUUAACACGUAUCCAAACGUUAAAACCCCCCGUGCACUAUUGAAUCUGCUCUCCUCUCGCCUUGACGAAGCAAUCUCUGGUAAAUCACGCACAAAGAUAGUUUGAUUCAGAGACCUCUUCUGUUGACACGACUCGGAUUUGAGCGGCUUAGCAAAGUGGCCCGUCGAUUAACGAUUUCAUGGCUCAUCACGGGCUGUGUAAAGGGUCCAUAGGUGGCCUCCAAAGCUGCCGCAGCAACUUGUUUGCUGCCCUCUAUUUAACCCCAAGGUGUAAACUUAAGGGUCUCUGUUAACGCAGAUGACUCAAAAAAAAAAACUUGAACAACUGUUAACAAUGGAUAUCUUGGUUCUC
rnacentral:misc_RNA from 1 species